UGAGGAAUAUUGGGCAAUGCUCGCAAGGGUGACCCAGCAACGCCGCGUGGAGGAUGAAUGUCGUAAGAUUGUAAACUCCUGUUAGAGGGGAAGAAUAGUACCGGUUGGACCGGUAUAUGACUGUACCCUCAGAGAAAGCCCCGGCUAACUACGUGCCAGCAGCCGCGGUAAUACGUAGGGGGCAAGCGUUGUCCGGAUUUACUGGGUGUAAAGGGCGCGCAGGCGGGAUAAAAAGUCAGUGGUGAAAUCCUACAGCUUAACUGUAGAACUGCCUUUGAUACUUUUAUUCUUGAGUUCGGGAGAGAGAGACGGAAUUCCAGGUGUAGUGGUGAAAUACGUAGAUAUCUGGAAGAACACCAGCUGCGAAGGCGGUCUCUUGGUCCGACACUGACGCUGAGGCGCGAAAGCGUGGGGAGCAAACA
rnacentral:rRNA from 1 species